rnacentral:rRNA from 1 species
UUUCCUACGGGGGGCAGCAGUGGGGGAUAUUGCACAAUGGGGGAAACCCUGAUGCAGCGACGCCGCGUGGGUGAAGGAGCGUUUCGGCGCGUAAAGCCCUAUCGGCAGGGAAGAAGAUGACGGUAUCUGACCAAGAAGCCCCGGCUAACUACGUGCCAGCAGCCGCGGGAAUACGUAGGGGGCAAGCGGUAUCCGGGUUUACUGGGUGUAAAGGGGGCGCAGACGGCAAUGCAAGCCCGGAGUGAAAGCCCGGGGCCCAACCCCGGGACUGCUCUUGGAAC